CGUUCUGCGCCACCUGCGUGAGAGGAAAUAACUCUCCACACCAUCAGGCGGCGGUAGUCUGUAUUCAUCAUUCAGAAAGAGAAACCAGAAGACGGAGGACGGGCGGAUACACAAGCCGUUGUUAUGAUACGUACAUGAAACAAAGCGGUGUCUGACGACCGUUUUCACACCGCUCUCACUCACCACUUAGCUUCAUUCCAGACGUUCAUAUUGCGUUCCUAACUUCCGUUUCUCUUCUCGUGCACUGAUUCGUUUAAGCUAUACAGCCAAUCAGAGUGAUUUCUCUCACCGACGAGCUCCGCCGCCAAUUCAACACGCUGAAUCGUCCGAAAAGCCUCCGAAGCGGGCAGACUAGAGCCGACGGUGCGGGACACACCG